ACGAUGUUCCGCUGUCUCCUAGAGGGCAAGAGCAUUAG
rfam:Halobacillus halophilus DSM 2266 complete genome